CAGCCGCCGCGGGAAUACGUAGGGUGCAAGCGUUAAUCUGAAUUACUGGGCGUAAAGCGUGCGCAGGCGGUUAUAUAAGACAGAUGUGAAAUCCCCGGGCUCAACCUGGGAACUGCAUUUGUGACUGUAUAGCUAGAGUACGGCAGAGGGGGAUGGAAUUCCGCGUGUAGCAGUGAAAUGCGUAGAUAUGCGGAGGAACACCGAUGGCGAAGGCAAUCCCCUGGGCCUGUACUGACGCUCAUGCACGAAAGCGUGGGGAGCAAACAGGAUUAGAUACCCGCGUAGUCCCUGUCUCUUAUAC
rnacentral:rRNA from 1 species